rnacentral:rRNA from 1 species
AUUGAACGCUGGCGGCAGGCCUAACACAUGCAAGUCGAGCGGAUGAAGGGAGCUUGCUCCUGGAUUCAGCGGCGGACGGGUGAGUAAUGCCUAGGAAUCUGCCUGGUAGUGGGGGAUAACGUCCGGAAACGGGCGCUAAUACCGCAUACGUCCUGAGGGAGAAAGUGGGGGAUCUUCGGACCUCACGCUAUCAGAUGAGCCUAGGUCGGAUUAGCUAGUUGGUGGGGUAAAGGCCUACCAAGGCGACGAUCCGUAACUGGUCUGAGAGGAUGAUCAGUCACACUGGAACUGAGACACGGUCCAGACUCCUACGGGAGGCAGCAGUGGGGAAUAUUGGACAAUGGGCGAAAGCCUGAUCCAGCCAUGCCGCGUGUGUGAAGAAGGUCUUCGGAUUGUAAAGCACUUUAAGUUGGGAGGAAGGGCAGUAAGUUAAUACCUUGCUGUUUUGACGUACCAACAGAAUAAGC